UCAGACGAUGCGUCAUGCAUAUCAAUAAGCGGAGGAAAAGAAACUAACAAGGAUCCCCUAGUAACGGCGAGUGAAGCGGGAAGAGCUCAAAUUUGAAAUCUUAAAGGGUUUCCCUUUACGAAUUGUAGUUUAAAGAAGUGUUUUCUGUUGAGGUUUUGGUAAAAGUUCUUUGGAAUAGGACAUCAUAGAGGGUGAGAAUCCCGUAUUUGACCUUUACUUUCAACUUUGUGAUACACUUUCAAAGAGUCGGAUUGUUUGGGAAUGCAGUCCAAAAUGGGUGGUAAAUUUCAUCUAAAGCUAAAUAUUGGCGAGAGACCGAUAGCGAACAAGUACCGUGAGGGAAAGAUGAAAAGAACUUUGAAAAGAGAGUUAAACAGUACGUGAAAUUGUCAAAAGGGAAGCGUUUGACACCAGUGUUGUUUUUCUGAAAAUCAAUUAAAGAACUGUUUAUGCUAAGUUGUUUAGACUUUAUCAGCUAUCUGUUUAGUUUUGAGCUUUUCUUUAAUGCACUUUUCAGUUAACAAGUCAACAUCAAUUUCUUUUGCUGUAAAAAAGCUUGAGGAAGGUGGCUUGAGAUUCGUCUUAAGUGUUUAUAGCCUCUUGCCUAUGCAGUCGGAGAGAUUGAGGUCUGCAGCGUAGAUCCUUCGGGGCUAAAUGCAUUUGUGCUAAGUUAUAGCAUUUUAUAGACAACUUGUUGACUAUGAUUUGUCUUGUAGCUUACUCGCUUAUGUUAUUUUACCUACGCUUAGGAUGUUGACACACGCGCGUGCUCG
rnacentral:rRNA from 1 species